rnacentral:lncRNA from 1 species
UUUCUCUCAAAUCAGUAGCUUUGCUUACUGUUUUCUGUGUGUUCAGCAUUGUUCCAGAGGGUCCCUUUUAUAGGGAUUGAUCAGGAGUUCCUGAUCAAUCCCAAUUCCUCCUUGGACGGGGAUUCAAUCUUUGAAUCCAAUUGGACUCUUUUGAUUGAAUCCCCACUCCUAGUAGGAUUCUUCAACAUUUAAUCUUAGCCAUCCAAAAAAAAGAAAAUAAGAAAUAAUAAUAAUAAUCGGAUAAAAAAAGAAUCAGAUAAAUG